rnacentral:rRNA from 1 species
GUUAUUUUUAAUUAAAAUAAUUUAAAAAUUUUUGUUUAUAAUGUAUAAUAAGAAAAUUUAAUUAAUUAUAGAAAAGAGUAAGGUAGCUGAAAAUUGAAAUAAAUGAAAAAUUAUUUUUUAAGAAGAAAAUGUAAUAUUGUACCUUUUGUAUCAGGGUAAUUUAAAAAUUAUUAGAAAUUUAGUAUUCUCGAUUUGAAAAGAGUUAAAAAUUUAUUAAAGUUAAUGUAGUAAAAUUAUUUUAAAUAAAUUUUUAGAAAUGAAAUGUUAUUCGAUUUUCAAGAUAUCUAGUUUUUUUAGAAAUAAAUUUAAUUUAAUCUAAUUAAAUAAAGUAAUUAUUUAAUAAUUGUUUUACUUUUAUUAGAAAAUUUUUAAUGGGAUAAGCUAUUAAAAUUAUUAAAAAUAACUAAAAUAAAUUUAAAUAUAUGCUUAUAAGUAGCAAUUAUUAAUAAAUUUGUUAUAAAUUAUAUAGUUGAUUUAUAAUUUAGUAAAUUUUAAUUUAAUAUAAAAAUUAAUAUUUUAAUAAUAAAAAUUUUGAAAUAAUGAAUUAAUUAGUAUAUAUUAUAGUUUAUGUAUUUAAAUGUGAAAGGUUUUUUUAAAGAAUUCGGCAAAAAAGUGUUCACCUGUUUAACAAAAACAUGUCUUUUUGAAAUUAAUUUAAAGUCUAACCUGCCCACUGAAAAUUAAAUGGCCGCAGUAUUUUAACUGUGCAAAGGUAGCAUAAUCAUUAGUCUUUUAAUUGAAGGCUGGAAUGAAUGGUUGAAUGAAAUACUAACUGUUUCAAUUAAAUUUAUAUAGAAUUUAAAUUUUUAGUUAAAAAGCUAAAAUAAAAUUAAAAGACGAGAAGACCCUAUAAAUCUUUAUAUAGAUAGAAUAUUUAAAAAUUAGAAAAAUUUUUUAUUUAUUUUUAAUAUAUUUUAUUGGGGUGAUAUGAAAAUUUAAUAAACUUUUUAAUUAUUUUACCAAUAAUAUUUGAAUAGUUGAUCCAUAUAAAUGAUUAAAAAUUUAAGUUACUUUAGGGAUAACAGCGUAAUUUUUUUAGAGAGUUCUUAUUGAUAAAAAAGUUUGCGACCUCGAUGUUGGAUUAAGAUACAAUUUUGGUGCAGUAGCUAAAAUUUUAAGUCUGUUCGACUUUUUAUUCUUACAUGAUCUGAGUUCAGACCGGCGUAAGCCAGGUUGGUUUCUAUCUUUAAUUAAAAUAUACAUUUUAGUACGAAAGGAAUUAAUGUAUAAAUUAAUAUUUUAUUUUAGAAUCCUAUU